UGGGGAAUAUUGGUCAAUGGACGAAAGUCUGAACCAGCAACGCCGCGUGAGGGAUGAAGGUCUUCGGAUUGUAAACCUCUUUCAGCAGGGACGAAGCGAAAGUGACGGUACCUGCAGAAGAAGCACCGGCUAACUACGUGCCAGCAGCCGCGGUAAUACGUAGGGUGCAAGCGUUGUCCGGAUUUAUUGGGCGUAAAGAGAUCGUAGGCGGCCUGUCACGUCGGAUGUGAAAACACGGAGCUUAACUCCGUGCCUGCAUUCGAUACGGACAAGCUAGAGGAUGGCAGGGGAAACUGGAAUUCCUGGUGUAGCGGUGAAAUGCGCAGAUAUCAGGAGGAACACCGGUGGCGAAGGCGGGUUUCUGGGCCAUUACUGACGCUGAGGAUCGAAAGCGUGGGGAGCAAACAGG
rnacentral:rRNA from 1 species